UAAAACCCCUCUCAGUUCGGACUGGAGUCUGCAACCCGACUCCACGAAGCUGGAUUCGCUAGUAAUCGCGCAUCAGCCACGGCGCGGUGAAUACGUUCCCGGGCCUUGUACACACCGCCCGUCAAGCCAUGGGAGCCGGGGGUACCUGAAGUGCGUAACCGCGAGGAUCGCCCUAGGGUAAAACUGGUGACUGGGGCUAAGUCGUAACAAGGUACC
rnacentral:rRNA from 1 species